rnacentral:rRNA from 1 species
AACGCUAGCGGUGCGCCUAACACAUGCAAGUCGAGCGGGAUUAUCUUGGAAGCUUGCUUCUAGGAUAUGAGAGCGGCGAACGGGUGAGUAACACGUUGGUACCUGCCCCUAAGUCAGGGAUAGCCAGAAGAAAUUCUGAUUAAUACCGGAUGCCCUCUUCGGAGGAAAGAUUUAUCGCUUAGGGAGGGGCCUGCGUUCUAUCAGCUAGUUGGUGAGGUAAUAGCUCACCAAGGCUAUGACGGAUAAUUGGUCUGAGAGGACGACCAGUCACAAUGAAACUGAGACACGGUUCAUACUCCUACGGGAGGCAGCAGUGAGGAAUCUUCCACAAUGGACGAAAGUCUGAUGGAGCGACACCGCGUGAAGGAUGAAGGCCUAACGGUUGUAAACUUCUUUUCUGAGGGAGCAUAAUGAGAGUACUUCAGGAAUAAGGAACGGCAAAUCACGUGCCAGCAGCCGCGGUAAUACGUGAGUUCCAAGCGUUACCCGGAAUCAUUGGGUGUAAAGGAUGCGUAGGUGGAUUUUUAAGUCAGGUAUGAAAGACCGGAGCUCAACUCCGUGUUUGUGCUUGAAACUGGAAAUCUGGAAUCAGGGAGAGGUUAGCGGAAUUCUAAGUGUAGGGGUGCAAUCCGUAGAUACUUAGAAGAACACCAAAAGCGAAGGCAGCUAACUGGAACUGUAUUGACACUGAGGCAUGAAAGCGUGGGGAGCAAAAAGGAUUAGAUACCCUUGUAGUCCACGCCCUAAACGUUGAUAACUAAGUGUCGGGAAUUGUCCCGGUGCUGAAGCUAACGCGAUAAGUUAUCCACCUGAGGAGUACGGUCGCAAGAUUAAAACUCAAAGGAAUAGACGGGGACCCACACACGCAGUGGAUCACGUGGUUUAAUUCGACAAUAAACGGGGAAUCUUACCCAGACUUGACAUCCUAGGAAUCUUGUAGAAAUAUGAGAGUGCCCGUAAGGGAGCCUAGUGACAGGUGCUGCAUGGUUGUCGUCAGCUCGUGCCUUGAGGUGUUCGGUUAAGUCCGUUAACGAGCGCAACCCAUGUCCUUAGUUAUUAUGUCUAAGGAGACUGCCUUGGUUAACAAGGAGGAAGGUGUGGAUGACGUCAAAUCAGCAUGGCUUUUACGUCUGGGGCUACACACAUGAUACAAUGGUAUGUACAAAGAGCAGCAAUAUGGUAACAUGGAGCUAAUCUUCAAAGCAUAUCUCAGUCCGGAUUGAGGGCUGCAACUCGCCCUCAUGAAGUUGGAAUUGCUAGUAAUCGUAAAUCAGACAUGUUACGGUGAAUGUGUUCCUGGGUCUUGUACUCACCGCCCGUCAAGGCAUGGGAGGUAGUAAUAUCGGAAGCUCCUCAAGUAAUAUGGGGGU